UACAGAGGGUGCAAGCGUUAAUCGGAAUUACUGGGCGUAAAGCGUGCGCAGGCGGUUUGCUAAGACAGGUGUGAAAUCCCCGGGCUUAACCUGGGAACUGCGCUUGUAACUGGCAAGCUAGAGUGUGGCAGAGGGGGGUGGAAUUCCACGUGUAGCAGUGAAAUGCGUAGAGAUGUGGAGGAACACCGAUGGCGAAGGCAGCCCCCUGGGCUAACACUGACGCUCAUGCACGAAAGCGUGGGGAGCAAACAGG
rnacentral:rRNA from 1 species